rnacentral:miRNA from 1 species
UGAGGCAGGAAAAUUGCUUGAACCCAGGAGGUGGAGGUUGCAGUGAGCCGAGAUUGCACCACUGUAUUCCAGCCUGGGUGACACAGCGAGACUCCGUCUC